rnacentral:rRNA from 1 species
AUUGAACGCUGGCGGCAGGCUUAACACAUGCAAGUCGAGCGAGCGGCGGAAGGGUGAGGAAUGUCUGGGAAAUUGCCUGAUGGAGGGGGAUAACUACUGGAAACGGUAGCUAAUACCGCAUACUAUAAGAUGUGCCCAUAUGGGAUUAGCUAGUAGGUGGGGUAAUGGCUCACCUAGGCGACGAUCCCUAGAUGGUCUGAGAGGAUGACCAUCCACACUGGAACUGAGACACGGUCCAGACUCCUACGGGAGGCAGCAGUGGGGAAUAUUGCACAAUGGGCGCAAGCCUGAUGCAGCCAUGCCGCGUGUAUGAAGAAGGCCUUCGGGUUGUAAAGCACUUUCAGCGAGGAGGCGUUACUCGCAGAAGAAGCACCGGCUAACUCCGUGCCAGCAGCCGCGGUAAUUC